UCAGCUCCAGCUGACUGACUCUGUGUGUUUGCAUAUGUGUCCGUCCUCUGUGCUCCAGCCGUUAAGAGGCCAGUGUUGAUCAGUGUGUGUCCAGGCCUUUCACAGCCACUGACACACCAACAACACAAUGAUGAUGUCCCUCAUGUUCCUGCUGGCCACCCUGGGGCUCCUUGUUCAGGGAAACACUGUUUCCAUCAGAUGUAAAUCCAGUACAGGCAUUAGUACAUAUCUGCACUGGUACCUUCAAAAAGAAGCAGAAUCUCCAAAGCUUCUUAUUUAUUACUCUACAAGUCUUCAGUCUGGUAUUUCCAGUCGUUUCAGUGGAAGUGGAUCUGGAACUGAUUUCACUCUGACCAUCACUGAUGUUCAGGUUGAAGAUGCAGGAGUUUAUUACUGUCAGCAGUGUAACAGCUUCCCAUUCACACAGUGA